rnacentral:rRNA from 1 species
ACUGCUCAGUAACACGUGGCUAAUCUGCCCCUUGGGACCGGAAACACCCCCGGGAAACUGGGGCUAAUUCUCGAUAGGUGAAGAACUCUGGAAUGAGUCUUUGCCAAAAAGACGUUUACGUUAUGCUCGUAGGCGUCGCCCAAGGAUGAGGCCGCGACCGAUCAGGUUGUUGGUGAGGUAAUGGCUCACCAAGCCUUUUACCGGUGCGGGCCGUGAGAGCGGGAGCCCGGAGAUGGGCACUGAGACAAGGGCCUAGGCCCUACGGGGCGCAGCAGUCGCGAAAACUUUGCAAUACACGAAAGUGUGACAGGGCUAUCCCGAGUGCCAUCCGCUGAGGAAGGCUUUUACCCAGUCUAGAACGCUGGGGGAAUAAGGAGAGGGCAAGUCUGGUGUCAGCCGCCGCGGUAAUACCAGCUCUCCGAGUGGUGUGGAUGUUUAUUGGGCCUAAAGCAUCCGUAGCUGGCUGAGUUAGUCCCUUGUUAAAUCCACCGAAUUAAUCGUUGGAUUGCGGGGGAUACUGCUCGGCUAGGGGACGAGAGAGGCAGACGGUAUUUCCGGGGUAGGGGUGAAAUCCUAUAAUCCCGGGAAGACCACCAGUGGCGAAGGCUGUCUGCUAGAACGCGCCCGACGGUGAGGGAUGAAAGCUGGGGGAGCGAACCGGAUUAGAUACCCGGGUAGUCCCAGCUGUAAACGAUGCAGGCUAGGUGUUUGGACGGCCACGUGCCGUUCUAGUGCCGCAGGGAAGCUGUUAAGCCUGCCGCCUGGGGAGUACGAUCGCAAGAUUGAAACUUAAAGGAAUUGGCGGGGGAGCA